GUACACACUGUACAAAAAUCAAUUAGUCGAGUGAAUAAGCCAGCCUCUUGAUUUUCGGGGACAUAUGAUCAAUCAAUAUUGAGUAGGGUCUAUUAAAUGGAAGAGGACUUCACACAGGAAAUAAUGCAGCUCACCAGAGAUGUUCAUCGAGGGUGAGAAGGGAUGCAGAGAACAAAGACUGGGUGAAGACAUGUCUUAGGAGCUAUCAUUUAACAUACACUGAAGAUGAUAGCCUCGACUGCAAAGCUAAUUACCUGGCACUCCCUUCCUAACAGCACUGUGGGUGUACCUACACCACAUGGACUGCAGUGAUUCAAGAAGGCAGCUCACUACCACCUUCUCAAGGGCAACUAGGGAUGGGCAAUAAAUGCUGGCCCAGCCAGCAAAGCCCACGUCCUGCGAAUGAAUAAAAAAAAUCUUGGUUUAAAACAAAAACGCAACCACUUAAAAUACUUUUAAAAGACAAUGGUGCAUGGCAAUGUCU